UGGACAAUGGGCGAAAGCCUGAUCCAGCAAUGCCGCGUGAGUGAUGAAGGCCUUAGGGUUGUAAAGCUCUUUUACCCGGGAUGAUAAUGACAGUACCGGGAGAAUAAGCCCCGGCUAACUCCGUGCCAGCAGCCGCGGUAAUACGGAGGGGGCUAGCGUUGUUCGGAAUUACUGGGCGUAAAGCGCACGUAGGCGGCUUUGUAAGUUAGAGGUGAAAGCCCGGGGCUCAACUCCGGAACUGCCUUUAAGACUGCAUCGCUAGAACCCCGGAGAGGUGAGUGGAAUUCCGA
rnacentral:rRNA from 1 species